rnacentral:rRNA from 1 species
UACGUAGGGUCCGAGCGUUUGUCCGGAAUUACUGGGCGUAAAGAGCUCGUAGGUGGUUUGAUCGCGUUGUUCGUGAAAACUCACAGCUCAACUGUGGGCGUGCGGGCGAUACGGGCAGACUGGAGUACUGCAGGGGAGGACUGGAAUUCCUGGUGUAGCGGUGGAAUGCGCAGAUAUCAGGAGGAACACCGGUGGCGAAGGCGGGUCUCUGGGCAGUAACUGACGCUGAGGAGCGAAAGCGUGGGGAGCGAACAGG